rnacentral:rRNA from 1 species
ACGAACGCUGGCGGCGUGCUUCACACAUGCAAGUCGAGCGAGGCUCCCUCUUCGGGGGGAUGCCCUAGCGGCGAACGGGUGAGUAACACGUGGGCAACCUGCCCUCAGCUCUGGGAUAAGCCCGGGAAACCGGGUCUAAUACUGGAUACGAGUCCACGGGGCAUCUUGUGGAUUGGAAAGAUUUAUCGGCUGAGGAUGGGCCCGCGGCCUAUCAGCUUGUUGGUGGGGUAAUGGCCUACCAAGGCGACGACGGGUAGCCGGCCUGAGAGGGCGACCGGCCACACUGGGACUGAGACACGGCCCAGACUCCUACGGGAGGCAGCAGUGGGGAAUCUUGCACAAUGGGCGAAAGCCUGAUGCAGCGACGCCGCGUGAGGGAUGACGGCCUUCGGGUUGUAAACCUCUUUCAGCAGGGACGAAGCGAAAGUGACGGUACCUGCAGAAGAAGGACCGGCCAACUACGU